rnacentral:rRNA from 1 species
GACGAACGCUGGCGGCGUGCUUAACACAUGCAAGUCGAACGGAAAGGCCCUGCUUUUGUGGGGUGCUCGAGUGGCGAACGGGUGAGUAACACGUGAGUAACCUGCCCUUGACUUUGGGAUAACUUCAGGAAACUGGGGCUAAUACCGGAUAGGAGCUCCUGCUGCAUGGUGGGGGUUGGAAAGUUUCGGCGGUUGGGGAUGGACUCGCGGCUUAUCAGCUUGUUGGUGGGGUAGUGGCUUACCAAGGCUUUGACGGGUAGCCGGCCUGAGAGGGCGACCGGCCACAUUGGGACUGAGAUACGGCCCAGACUCCUACGGGAGGCAGCAGUGGGGAAUAUUGCACAAUGGGCGGAAGCCUGAUGCAGCAACGCCGCGUGCGGGAUGACGGCCUUCGGGUUGUAAACCGCUUUCGCCUGUGACGAAGCGUGAGUGACGGUAAUGGGUAAAGAAGCACCGGCUAACUACGUGCCAGCAGUCGCGGUGAUACGUAGGGUGCGAGCGUUGUCCGGAUUUAUUGGGCGUAAAGGGCUCGUAGGUGGUUGAUCGCGUCGGAAGUGUAAUCUUGGGGCUUAACCCUGAGCGUGCUUUCGAUACGGGUUGACUUGAGGAAGGUAGGGGAGAAUGGAAUUCCUGGUGGAGCGGUGGAAUGCGCAGAUAUCAGGAGGAACACCAGUGGCGAAGGCGGUUCUCUGGGCCUUUCCUGACGCUGAGGAGCGAAAGCGUGGGGAGCGAACAGGCUUAGAUACCCUGGUAGUCCACGCUGUAAACGGUGGGUACUAGGUGUGGGGUCCAUUCCACGGGUUCCGUGCCGUAGCUAACGCUUUGAGUACCCCGCCUGGGGAGUACGGCCGCAAGGCUAAAACUCAAAGGAAUUGACGGGGCCCCGCACAAGCGGCGGAGCAUGCGGAUUAAUUCGAUGCAACGCGUAGAACCUUACCUGGGUUUGACAUGGAUCGGGAGUGCUCAGAGAUGGGUGUGCCUCUUUUGGGGUCGGUUCACAGGUGGUGCAUGGCUGUCGUCAGCUCGUGUCGUGAGAUGUUGGGUUAAGUCCCGCAACGAGCGCAACCCUUGUUCACUGUUGCCAGCACGUUAUGGUGGGGACUCAGUGGAGACCGCCGGGGUCAACUCGGAGGAAGGUGGGGAUGACGUCAAGUCAUCAUGCCCCUUAUGUCCAGGGCUUCACGCAUGCUACAAUGGCUGGUACAGAGAGUGGCGAGCCUGUGAGGGUGAGCGAAUCUCGGAAAGCCGGUCUCAGUUCGGAUUGGGGUCUGCAACUCGACCUCAUGAAGUCGGAGUCGCUAGUAAUCGCAGAUCAGCAACGCUGCGGUGAAUACGUUCCCGGGGCU